UAGGGAGGAAGGCUUACCGAUAAGAAGGGGGAGUACUUGACGUUACCUACAGAGAAAGCACCGGCUAAUUUCGUGCCCCCAGCCGCGGCAAUACGAAAGGUGCGAGCGUUAAUCGGAAUUACUGGGCGUAAAGCGCGCGUAGGCGGUUUGUUAAGUCAUGAUGUGAAAGCCCCGGGCUCAACCUGUGAAUUGCAUUUGAAACUGGUAGGCUAAAGUGCGGUAGAGGGAGGUGGAAUUUCCGGUGUAGCGGUGAAAUGCGUACAGAUCGAAAGGAACACCAGUGGCGAAGGCAGCCUCCUGGACUGACCUUGACGCUGAGGUGCCAAGGCGUGGGGAGCAAACAGGAUUAGAUACCCUGGUAGUCCACGCCGUAUACGAUGUCUACUAGUCGUUGGGAAUCUUAGUAUUCUUGGUGACGAAGUUAACGCGAUAACUAGACCGCCUGGGGAGUACGAGCCGCACGGUUA
rnacentral:rRNA from 1 species